UGGGGAAUUUUGGACAAUGGGCGAAAGCCUGAUCCAGCAAUGCCGCGUGUGUGAAGAAGGCCUUCGGGUUGUAAAGCACUUUUGUCCGGAAAGAAAUCCUUGGCUCUAAUACAGUCGGGGGAUGACGGUACCGGAAGAAUAAGCACCGGCUAACUACGUGCCAGCAGCCGCGGUAAUACGUAGGGUGCAAGCGUUAAUCGGAAUUACUGGGCGUAAAGCGUGCGCAGGCGGUUUGCUAAGACCGAUGUGAAAUCCCCGGGCUCAACCUGGGAACUGCAUUGGUGACUGGCAGGCUAGAGUAUGGCAGAGGGGGGUAGAAUUCCACGUGUAGCAGUGAAAUGCGUAGAGAUGUGGAGGAAUACCGAUGGCGAAGGCAGCCCCCUGGGCCAAUACUGACGCUCAUGCACGAAAGCGUGGGGAGCAAACAGGAUUAGAUACCCUGGUAGUCCACGCCCUAAACGAUGUCAACUAGUUGUGGGGAUUCAUUUCCUUAGUACGUAGCUAACGCGUGAAGUUGACCGCCUGGGGAGUACGGUCG
rnacentral:rRNA from 1 species